GCGCCACCAGUUUGUUGCUCCGCUCGUGGCGUGGCCGCGUCAGGUCCAAGUUGCAGUUGCAGGGACGCUCAGGUCAAAUCUGUCAGCGUGAAGUGUAAUCUACGAUUACGAGUGGCUCAGGGCUGGCACGGUGGCACCUGGGUUGAAAAGUACUCUACGGGUCCAGGAGUGCAGAGACCACAGCGGGGAAGCUCCAAAGGUUCACAAGACCAAAGCCGGAUUACUUGUAAUACAGUACUGCUCUGUAAUCCAGUAAAUUCUACACUAAUUUAAUCCAGUUUUACUAGUAUAAAAAUUA